UUUAUCUCAGUUUUUCAUCUGUUCAUUAAAGCAUAGCAUCCUAUAAAGUUAAUCAGUGUGGAAAGUUAGCAGUAUAUGUGUGCUCCUGAAUAUGGCUAAGCCACUGAACUCCAGUGUGGAAAUUAAUGAUGAGCACCCCUGGCCCUACUUCAGUAAAAUAUUUCAAUACACUGGAGUAAACAAAGACACGUAUAAAAUGAGGCGUCUCCUUUUGCCUCCCUAGAAAGUAUGAACUCCAUCUAAUUUGAAAAAGCAUGUUGAGGGCAAAUGCUGCUCCGCUGACCCGAGAUCAUCCUGACUGUGCUGUUUUAGUGGUUACUCUGACUCCCAGGGGUCAACAGUGGAUCACUUUCUGCCCUCCAGCAGUGAGAGUAGGUGCUAAUGGUGAGUGAGAGGUGUCGUGUGAGUGUAGAAGACUGACCGUAAAUGCCCAGCACAAGGCUCACGUCUGGGUAAAUGCUUUGUCAGGGUAAGUAAUGCUACCCCACCCUGUCUCCCUUCUCUGCUGUCUAUCCCGCCCAUCAGUUGAGUCAUAACAUAUGUGCACACCCACACACACACACUUACACACCCACAUGCAUACACACGCACUAAGUGACAGUGCCAAUCAUGAUUCACAGGGCUGAGGGUUUGCACUAUAUGCUAGAUUAGCAUUGUGUUCUGGGAAGCCAGUAGACAUCCAUCCGAACAUACAGUUGGUGCUAAUUCCUAGUGACAUCAGCAUCAGUCGCAGGCACUCGCAAAAGCUUUCAAACAUUAUACACGGUCCCAAAUACACCAUGUACCAUUCAGUGUGGUUUAGGC
ensembl:lncRNA